GUGGGAUGACGUCAAAUCCUCAUGGCCCUUUAUGUCCCAGGGCUACACACAUGCGACAAUGGUCGAGACAACGCGUUGCAAACCAGUAAUGGUAAGCUAAUCGCAUAAAAUCGACCUCAGUACGGAUUGAGGUUGCAAUUCACCCUCAUGAAGCUGGAGUUGCUAGUAACCGCAGGUCAGCUAUACUGCGAUGAAUACGUUCCCGGGGCUU
rnacentral:rRNA from 1 species